rnacentral:tRNA from 1 species
AACAGUGUAGCAUAGUGGUUAAAGCACCGAUUUUGAUGUCAGGGUAGCCCUGAGUUCAAAUCCCAGCUCUUUUA